rnacentral:lncRNA from 1 species
AUGCGGAUCCCACACCGGCCUCGGGCACCCACCUGCCUUGGGCUCCUCGCCCUCCUCCUCCCGCUCCUCGGGCCCUGCAAAACAACAUUCCAGAGGUGGGCAACCCCCCGAGCCCCAUCCCGGGAUUUGGGGGUGCCCCUCGGAGCAUCCCGGCCUUCCCACGGGGGUGUCCCGAAAAUCCCGGCGGGAAGAGGGGACAUCCCUGGGUUUAGGGCGGAUCCAUGGAUCCCCCAAAGGCUGGGAUACCCCGGAGCCUUUCCCUGCUCCAGCACCCCCCGGGAUUCCCGGAUUUCCACGCCCCCACCACCAUUCCCAGCGGGAAAAAUCUCGUGGCCGAGCCAAAUCCAUGGAAAAAAGGGCAUUCCCGAGGGUGUGAGGCUGAAAACCGGGAGCCAAAUCCAUGGAAAAAAGGGCAUUGCCGAGGGUGCAGCUGAAAACUGGGAGCCAAAUCCAUGGAAAAAAGGGCAUUGCCGAGGGUGUGAGGCUGAAAACCGGGAGCCAAAUCCAUGGAAAAAAGGGCAUUGCCGAGGGUGCAGCAGAAAACAGGGAGCCAAAUCCAUGGAAAAAAGGGCAUUCCCGAGGGUGCAGCAGAAAACCGGGAGCCAAAUCCAUGGAAAAAAGGGCAUUGCCGAGGGUGUGAGGCUGAAAACCGGGAGCCAAAUCCAUGGAAAAAAGGGCAUUGCCGAGGGCGCAGCUGAAAACCGGGAGCCAAAUCCAUGGAAAAAAGGGCAUUGCCGAGGGUGCAGCAGAAAACCGGGAGCCAAAUCCAUGGAAAAAAGGGCAUUGCUGAGGGUGCAGCUGAAAACCGGGAGCCAAAUCCAUGGAAAAAAGGGCAUUGCUGAGGGUGCAGCAGAAAACAGGGAGCCAAAUCCAUGGAAAAAAGGGCAUUGCCGAGGGUGUGAGGCUGAAAACAGGGAGCCAAAUCCAUGGAAAAAAGGGCAUUGCCGAGGGUGUGAGGCUGAAAACCGGGAGCCAAAUCCAUGGAAAAAAGGGCAUUGCCGAGGGUGUGAGGCUGAAAACAGGGAGCCAAAUCCAUGGAAAAAAGGGCAUUGCCGAGGGUGCAGCAGAAAACAGGGAGCCAAAUCCAUGGAAAAAAGGGCAUUGCCGAGGGUGUGA